rnacentral:rRNA from 1 species
UACGGAGGAUCCAAGCGUUAUCCGGAUUCACUGGGUUUAAAGGGUGUGUAGGCGGGGUAUUAAGUCAGUGGUGAAAUCCUACAGCUUAACUGUAGAACUGCCAUUGAAACUGAUACUCUUGAAUGUAGUUGAGGUAGGCGGAAUGUGUAGUGUAGCGGUGAAAUGCUUAGAUAUUACACAGAACACCGAUUGCGAAGGCAGCUUGCUAAACUAUGAUUGACGCUGAGACACGAAAGCGUGGGGAUCAAACAGG